UGCCUGCCCAGUGAAAACGUUAAACGGCCGCGGUAUCCUGACCGUGCAAAGGUAGCAUAAUCAUUUGUUCUUUAAAUAAGGACUUGUAUGAAUGGCCACACGAGGGUUUUACUGUCUCUUACUUCCAAUCAGUGAAAUUGACCUUCCCGUGAAGAGGCGGGAAUAAACAAAUAAGACGAGAAGACCCUAUGGAGCUUCAACUAACUAGUCCAAAGAACAUAAACUUAACCAUUAAGGGAUAAUAACAUUCUCCAUGAACUAGCAGUUUCGGUUGGGGUGACCUCGGAGAACAAACAAUCCUCCGAGCGAUUUUAAAGACAAGACACACAAGUCAAAUCAUUCUAUCGCUUAUUGAUCCAAAAACUUGAUCAACGGAACAAGUUACCCUAGGGAUAACAGCGCAAUCCUAUUCAAGAGUCCAUAUCGACAAUAGG
rnacentral:rRNA from 1 species